rnacentral:rRNA from 1 species
UACGUAGGGUGCAAGCGUUGUCCGGAAUUAUUGGGCAUAAAGAGCUCGUAGGCGGUUUGUCGCGUCUGCUGUGAAAACCCGAGGCUCAACCUCGGGCCUGCAGUGGGUACGGGCAGACUAGAGUGCGGUAGGGGAGAUUGGAAUUCCUGGUGUAGCGGUGGAAUGCGCAGAUAUCAGGAGGAACACCAAUGGCGAAGGCAGAUCUCUGGGCCGUAACUGACGCUGAGGAGCGAAAGCAUGGGGAGCGAACAGG